rnacentral:rRNA from 1 species
UACGAAGGGGGCUAGCGUUGCUCGGAAUCACUGGGCGUAAAGCGCACGUAGGCGGAUUGCUAAGUCAGGGGUGAAAUCCUGGAGCUCAACUCCAGAACUGCCCUUGAUACUGGCGGUCUCGAGUCCGGGAGAGGUGAGUGGAACUGCGAGUGUAGAGGUGAAAUUCGUAGAUAUUGGGAAGAACACCAGUGGCGAAGGCGGCUCACUGGCCCGUAACUGACGCUGAGGUGCGAAAGCGUGGGGAGCAAACAGG